GAUGAACGCUGGCGGUAUGCUUAACACAUGCAAGUCGAACGGUCACUUCGGUGAUAGUGGCGGACGGGUGAGUAACGCGUGAGAAUCUGUCUUCAGGUCGGGGACAACAGUUAGAAAUGACUGCUAAUACCGGAUGUGCCUUUGGGUGAAAGAUUUAUUGCCUGAAAAAGAGCUCGCGUCAGAUUGGCUAGUAGGUGGUGUAAGAGACUACCUAGGCUCCGAUCUGUAGCUGGUCUGAGAGGACGAUCAGCCACACUGGAACUGAGACACGGUCCAGACUCCUACGGGAGGCAGCAGUGGGGAAUUUUCCGCAAUGGGCGAAAGCCUGACGGAGCAAUACCGCGUGAGGGACGAAGGCUUUUGGGUCGUAAACCUCUUUUCUCAAGGAAGAUGAUGACGGUACUUGAGGAAUAAGCAUCGGCUAACUCUGUG
rnacentral:rRNA from 1 species